rnacentral:tRNA from 2 species
GGAGGCUUGGGGGAGUGGUUUAACCCAACGGUCUUGAAAACCGUCGGCCGGUCAAACGGCCCGUGAGUUCGAAUCUCACAGCCUCCGCCA